rnacentral:rRNA from 1 species
AUUGAACGCUAACGGCGUGCUUAACACAUGCAAGUCGAGCGGCAGCAUGAUCUGUAGCAAUACAGAUUGAUGGCGAGCGGCGGACGGGUGAGUAACAUAUAGGAAUCUGCCUUGUAGUGGGGGAUAACCCGGGGAAACUCGGGCUAAUACCGCAUAAUCUCUACGGAGCAAAGUGGGGGACCGCAAGGCCUCACGCUAAAAGAUGAGCCUAUAUUGGAUUAGCUAGUUGGUGAGGUAAUGGCUCACCAAGGCGACGAUCCAUAGCUGGUCUGAGAGGAUGAUCAGCCACACUGGGACUGAGACACGGCCCAGACUCCUACGGGAGGCAGCAGUGGGGAAUAUUGGACAAUGGGCGCAAGCCUGAUCCAGCAACGCCGUGUGUGUGAAGGAGGCCUUCGGGUUGUAAAGCACUUUUAGUUGGGAAGAAAAGCUUAUGGUUAAUAACCAUGAGUGAUGACGUUACCAACAGAAAAAGCACUGGCUAACUCUGUGCCAGCAGCCGCCGUAAUAC